CUCCGCCUCGCCCCGCCGUCGUGUCCGUCCUCCCCAACCUCUCCGUCGACGUGCUCGUCGUUGUGUCGUCAGAGCCUCGGCAGCGUCAAUCUUUGACGAUCUUUGCCUGCCUUCAUUCAAAGGGCCGAGCCCCUCUCCUCAGUCAUCGUUUGAUCUAGCGGCUGGGUGGUUACAUCUGCACCGAAGCAUUUGCUUCUUCUCGGAUAGGAUCGCGAAGUGGUGUGGUGAGAUACGAC